AACGAACGCUGGCGGCAGGCCUAACACAUGCAAGUCGAGCGAAGCCUUCGGGCUUAGCGGCGGACGGGUGAGUAACGCGAGGGAACGUUCCCUUUUGUACGGAAUAGCCCCGGGAAACUGGGCGUAAUACCAUAUGUGGGCGUGAGACGAAAGAUUUAUCGCCAAAGGAUCGGCACGCGUUGGAGUAGGUAGUUGGUGUGGUAAUGGCCUACCAAGCCGACGAUCCAUAGCUGGUUUGAGAGGAUGAUCAGCCACACUGGGACUGAGACACGGCCCAGACUCCUACGGGAGGCAGCAGUGGGGAAUCUUAGACAAUGGGGGAAACCCUGAUCUAGCCAUGCCGCGUGAUCGAUGAAGGCCUUAGGGUUGUAAAGAUCUUUCAGUGGGGAAGAUAAUGACUGUACCCACAGAAGAAGCCCCGGCUAACCCCGUGCCAGCCGCCGCCGUAAGAC
rnacentral:rRNA from 1 species